CACCGUUUGGCUUAGAAAAGAUAAAACCAACGAGAACCCAACUGUUUUGUCUUCCUCUUCGUUUUACCCUUCUGCAAAAAACCCUCAUCUCUCUCAUUCACAAACCUCUUUCUUCAUCUUCUUCACAAACCCUCCUCUACUCUCACGUCGACCUCCUCCUCAGCCGUUUUCUUUCCUAUGACGACGCAUUAGACAACACGGCCACCCAAGAAAUUUUUUGAUUGUCGUGUAUUGCA
rnacentral:lncRNA from 1 species